CCUACGGGCGGCAGCAGUGGGGAAUAUUGGGCAAUGGAGGCAACUCUGACCCAGCAAUGCCGCGUGAAUGAAGAAGGUCUUCGGAUUGUAAAGUUCUUUAAUCAGGGACGAAGAAGAUGACGGUACCCCUUGAAUAAGCCACGGCUAACUACGUGCCAGCAGCCGCGGUAAUACGUAGGUGGCAAGCGUUGUCCGGAUUUACUGGGUGUAAAGGGCGUGCAGCCGGAGAGACAAGUCAGAUGUGAAAUCCACGGGCUCAACCCGUGAACUGCAUUUGAAACUGUUUCCCUUGAGUGUCGGAGAGGUAAUCGGAAUUCCUUGUGUAGCGGUGAAAUGCGUAGAUAUAAGGAAGAACACCAGUGGCGAAGGCGGAUUACUGGACGAUAACUGACGGUGAGGCGCGAAAGCGUGGGGAGCAAACAGGAUUAGAUACCCCAGUAGUC
rnacentral:rRNA from 1 species